rnacentral:rRNA from 1 species
UUCGUGAACUUCGUGGUGAAAAAACUAUAAAGAUCAAUCCCCGGAUUUACGCACAACCAACCCAAUUUCAUGCCCACUGAGUUUGAUUUGUUUGCCGCCUUCGGUUGGGCCGGCCUGGAGGGUGUCGCAUAAAGUCUCGCCGCAGAUGUAUUGCUCAUGUUCGCGCAGGGUUUCGCGGAGAAGGUCGUCGUCGGUCUGGUAGGCGACUUUGAUGCGGU